UCCAGACUCCUACGGGAGGCAGCAGUGAGGAAUAUUGGUCAAUGGGCGCGAGCCUGAACCAGCCAAGUAGCGUGAAGGAUGACUGCCCUACGGGUUGUAAACUUCUUUUAUAAAGGAAUAAAGUGAGGCACGUGUGCCUUUUUGUAUGUACUUUAUGAAUAAGGAUCGGCUAACUCCGUGCCAGCAGCCGCGGUAAUACGGAGGAUGCGAGCGUUAUCCGGAUUUAUUGGGUUUAAAGGGUGCGUAGGCGGCAUUAUAAGUUAGUGGUAAAAUAUUGGGGCUUCACCUCACUACGCCAUUAAUACUGUAGAGCUAGAGAACAGACGAGGUAGGCGGAAUAAGUUAAGUAGCGGUGAAAUGCAUAGAUAUAACUUAGAACACCGAUAGCGAAGGCAGCUUACCAGACUGAGUCUGACGCUGAUGCACGAGAGCAUGGGUAGCGAACAGGAUUAGAUACCCGUGUAAG
rnacentral:rRNA from 1 species